GCCCGUAUGCCUGGGGGAGGCAGCAGGGGAGGAGAGUGCGGUGCGAAGCCGGGAGAGGAGCUGCCUGGCCCCGGUGCGCGGCCUGGGCCGAAGGGACGUGUCCCGCAGCGGCCCUGUUGGACGGACCAAGCCGUGGGUCUCGCCAUCAGUUCCACAUUGCUGGGUGCGGCCCGGCCAUCCUCAAGAAGCCCAAGGUCCUCCUCUUGUGAAGCAGAGGAGCCUUCAUUACUGCAGGCUGAGCGGUUGGUCACGCACAUGUGGUGGCUGCCUUGUGCAGGUCAGCUGCGGCUUGUGUGUGAGCUUGGAGGCCUCGGCAGAAGACCAUCCGUGAAGAUUCAACUCCAGUUGACAACAGGGAGAACAGGAUCAAGCUUUGCUGAAAAUCUUCUUCAGCUACAUUGAAAUUCAGGUGGAGGAACCACUCAGUCCAGUGAGUUUUACAGUUUCCAGUGAGCUUCUACAAAAGCCUGUAAGUCUGUGUAGUCUUCUUAAAAAUAACUACUGCAAAAGCUAAGAAAAGAGAACCAGUUGCUGGUAGGCUUACGUUUUCUGGUUGAGGGAGUGAGUUGAACCUUGGUGGGCAGGGUCCACCCUUUCUUUGAGGCAAGGAAGCAGUUUAAAAGCAGUUACAAAUCAGUUCUUCAAUCCAUGAUCACCUUUGGAUUUCCUUGAAAUUUGACUAUUUCCCUUUGUUACAGUGACUUACUUAUUUUGACUGUUUUAAGGAUUGGAUCUUGACCUAAAGUUUGUCAGUACUGAGGACCUUUGAGAAGAGUAUAAAUUUUGAGAAGAAUGUAAAUUUCCCACAGACAUCUUCAGUUUGCUAGUUUAGUGCCAGUUCGGACUUCGUCUGCAAGCACUGUACCUGUAGUCUUAACAUACAUGUAAUAUAUGAAUUCACACAGUGGUUUUAGUUAUUUGAACAACUGAAAAAAAGCAUUGAUUUGCCCUUCUCAUAGACCAACAUAAUGAAUUAUCCACCUACCUUCUUUGUCCAGUCUAUUAAUAUACAUUUUGUAUAGAAUUUUUUGGAUCAAUGUGAUUUCUUAACAAGAGUCCUAUGGGUGUGAAAAAAAAAAAAAGAAAGUAGACUAGUCCAUGGGAAUAUAUUGAUUACGCUUCACUGCGUUUCUCAUUUUUUCCAUCAAAGCAUUCCUACACAUGAAAUAGAUACUUAACUUUUAAAGGAAGUUAAAACAGCAGAACAUAUAAUUUUAAAUAGUUUCAGAAUUAUUAGUGGUGAGUGGUGAACUAAGAGAUACAAGGAGGUGCAUAGUCAAGUAUGUAGCAUAGAAAAAAAAAAAAAGAAGUGCAAGAACAAACCACAAUUUCAUAAAACUGCCGUAGCGAAUUCAUUCGGGAGUGUGAACAGUGCAACAGAUAACACUGGCUAUCAGUCUUU
rnacentral:lncRNA from 1 species